UACGUAGGGUGCAAGCGUUAAUCGGAAUUACUGGGCGUAAAGCGUGCGCAGGCGGUUGUGCAAGACAGAUGUGAAAUCCCCGGGCUUAACCUGGGAACUGCAUUUGUGACUGCACGGCUAGAGUGUGUCAGAGGGGGGUAGAAUUCCACGUGUAGCAGUGAAAUGCGUAGAGAUGUGGAGGAAUACCGAUGGCGAAGGCAGCCCCCUGGGUCAAUACUGACGCUCAUGCACGAAAGCGUGGGGAGCGAACAGG
rnacentral:rRNA from 1 species